rnacentral:rRNA from 1 species
CCUACGGUUGGCAGCAGUGGGGGAUAUUGGACAAUGGGCGCAACCCUGACCCAGCGACGCCGCGUGAGUGAAGAAGUCUUUCGGUUUGUAAACUUCUUUUCUCAGGGACGAAAGAAGUGACGGUACCUCAGUAAUAAGCCACGGCUAACUACGUGCCAGCAGCCGCGGUAAUACGUAGGUGGCAAGCGUUAUCCGGAUUUAUUGGGUGUAAGGGGGGGUAGGCGGGAAAGCAAGUCCGAUGUGAAAACUCAGGGCUCAACCCUGAGACUGCAUUUGAAACUGUUUUUCUUGAGUGCUGGAGAGGCAAGCGGAAUUCCGGGUGUAGCGGUGAAAUGCGUAGAUAUACGGAGGAACACCAGUGGCGAAGGCGGAUUGCUGGACAGUAACUGACGUUGAGGCGCGAAAGCGUGGGGAGCAAACAGGAUUAGAUACCCUUGUAGUC